rnacentral:rRNA from 1 species
CGGAGGAUCCAAGCGUUAUCCGGAUUUAUUGGGUUUAAAGGGUGCGUAGGUGGCUUUUUAAGUCAGGGGUGAAAGACGGUAGCUUAACUAUCGCAGUGCCUUUGAUACUGAAGAGCUUGAAUGAACUAGAGGUAGGCGGAAUGUGACAAGUAGCGGUGAAAUGCAUAGAUAUGUCACAGAACACCAAUUGCGAAGGCAGCUUACUAUGGUUAGAUUGACACUGAGGCACGAAAGCGUGGGGAUCAAACAGGAUUAGAUACCCUGGUAGUCCACGCCCUAAACGAUGAAUACUCGAUGUUGGCGAUAUACGGUCAGCGUCUAAGCGAAAGCGUUAAGUAUUCCACCUGGGGAGUACGCCCGCAAGGGUG